CCUAUGGAGCAAACAAGAGUGGUCAAAGUCAUGUAAAACUACAGUAAAAAAUCACGCGGUAUACAGUUUUAGAUGACUAUAUACGGAGAUGGUGAGGACUGGUUUGAUAAUUAGUGAUUUGGUCGUUAGAGAAAAUAGUUUUUAUUCCACUCUUCUUGUUCUUGUUUCUUUUUGGAGCUCCUAGUUAAAAUUUAUUUGGUUUUUGCUGGCAUAAAGAAGCGAAUCCAUAAAAAGAAUUAAGCCCUCCAUUACAUUGCUCUCUCCCGACUGUCUGUCAGACGGAGAAGUUCAGAGGGUCUGUAUAACGAGAUUUGUUGCCCUUCAUAACAAAUCUUGUUCCAUAGAAAACGGGGAAGCAACUCACAAUGACAAUGAAGGAUUUGAGGUUUUGUUUAUCUGCCAUUAAUGCUUUGGAGGCUCAGAAUGCAGAGCUAAGAGCAAAUCUUGAAGAUGCCAGAAAGCAAAAUGAAGAGAUGAGGUUAAUUAUAUCAUCAAUAAAAGAUGAACUCUCAAUAUUUGAUGCAUUGGUUUUGUACCCAACUUAUAUAAAGUUAUUGAAGAAUUAUCCAGAAUCUCAGAAAGAAAUGGUGGAGUUAUCAAUUAAGGCCAAUUUUUUCAAGAGCAGCUAUGAAAUAAAGCAGAAAACUUGGGCAUACAUGGUAGAGAGAUGGUCAAAGAGAUCUGGCAAUGCUGAAUAAUCCUCUCUUUUCUUGCUUUUAGAUUUAUAUAGAAAAUUAUGGAAUAAUCCUCUCUUUUCUUGAAUUCAAUAAGGAUCACCAAAUAAAACUGGUGUACAUCAAUCUUGGUUGCAUAUAAAUCUUCUUGGGAGAUAUCAUACAAACCAUGAUAUUGAAUUUUUUAACAAUUCAGAAUGAUCAGAUCCAUUUUUUCAGAUGUGCAUCUGCAAGCUAUGAUGAUAUGAUUCUUAAAGUUAAUUCUAUUGUGUUUGUAUAAUUUUCAGAGAGGCCGUGCUGAAUGCUAAUUUUGUAUCAGCAAUUUGGUUUCUGUGAACUGCUUUUUAGAGAUAAAAUUUGAAAUGGGUCUUGGUUUGCUUA